CCACUAUUAAAUUUUUGUCGUUGAAUAAGUGCUCCAAAGGAUAACGACAAUUCAACAUCAUUAUUUAUUUGUUGGGUCUGAAUGGAUGCUUCAUAUGAACCAGAGUUCACGGCUCUAAACGCCAACAAGCUUCUCAUAUUGUUGGCAUGGUUGCUCAUAGAGAACGGCCGCGAAACGCAAGGAGUGGGCUUGGUCCACUUGAUUGGCUAGCGAUUUUGGCUUUGGGCUGCACAUGAGGGCAAUCGGAAGAAAGACUCUUGACUAGAGUCUUCUUUCUCUCCGAUCGCGAUGAAGGUUGGAAGUUCAUUGCGAUCUAGAGAUCGGGUGGAUAAUGCUGGGAUUAUCUAUUUAAAGAUCUUCGAGUUCAUUCGAGGUUGAGCCAUCGAUCCCAAACUCUUCUUUUAGUUUUCUUCCUUGAUUUGUCACCGGAGGGGACUAUCGGAUCACAUCACCAGGUUGAGGUAUGUGCUCCUCUCUCUCUCUCUCUCUCUCUCUCUCUCUCUCUNNNNNNNNNNNNNNNNNNNNUCUCUCUCUCUCUCUCUCUCUCUCUCUCUCUCUCUCUUCUGAUGUUGUAGCUUAGAUUUGCCUUGUUUCAAGUCGGUGAAUCGCCCGAAAUAGGAGAGCUUUAUUUUGGUCUGUUUUUUCUCUCCAUUGGCCGUCGUUGGUCACCAUCCAUAGUGGGCAGUUGCGGGUCUUCUGACCUAGGCACCACCACAGUCAUGCUUUCCCUCUCCUUUGUUUUCUUUCCUUGACUAGAGAGAGGACCUUCUUCUUCUUUUCUUUCUCUCUCUUCCCCACUUUCUCUCUCUUAUACUCUCUCUACAAAGUUUCUCUUUUCUGACUUAUGGGCUAGACAUGUUGAUUGAUCCAGGUUGAUCUGUGCCAUCGACA
rnacentral:lncRNA from 1 species